GACGAACGCUGGCGGCGUGCUUAACACAUGCAAGUCGAACGAAAAGGCCUCUUUCGGGGGGUACUCGAGUGGCGAACGGGUGAGUAACACGUGAGUAACCUACCCUUGUCUUUGGGAUAACUUCAGUAAACUGGGGCUAAUACCGGCUAGGAGAUCCUGCUACCUGGAGGGGGUUGUAAAGUUUCGGGGGUUGGGGGUGGACUAGCGGCGUAUCAGCUUGUUGGUGGGGUAGUGGCUUACCAAGGGGUUGCCGGGUAGCCGGCCAGUGAGGGUGAGCGGCCACACUGGGACUGAGGUGAGGCCGAGGUUCGUACGGGUGGCAGCAGUGGGGAAUAUUGACGGAUGAGCGGAGGCUUGAUGCAGCAGCUCCGUGUGCGGGAUGACGCCCUUCUGGUUGAAAACCGCUUCCGCACAUGACGAAGCUUUGCGUGACGGUAGUUGGUAAAGAAGCCCCGGCUAACUACGUG
rnacentral:rRNA from 1 species